AGUGGCAACACUUCUGUCGGCGACCGGCGCACGGGUGAGUAACGCGUAUGCAACCUGCCCUUCACAGGGGGAUAACAGCUGGAAACGGCUGCUAAUACCGCAUAAGCGCACAGUACCGCAUGGUACGGUGUGAAAAACUCCGGUGGUAUGAGAUGGACCCGCGUCUGAUUAGCUAGUUGGUGAGGUAACGGCCCACCAAGGCAACGAUCAGUAGCCGACCUGAGAGGGUGACCGGCCACACUGGAACUGAGACACGGUCCAGACUCC
rnacentral:rRNA from 1 species